UACGUAGGGGGCAAGCGUUAUCCGGAUUUACUGGGUGUAAAGGGAGCGUAGACGGCAUAGCAAGUCUGAAGUGAAAGCCCAAGGCUCAACCAUGGGACUGCUUUGGAAACUGUUAAGCUAGAGUGCUGGAGAGGUAAGCGGAAUUCCUAGUGUAGCGGUGAAAUGCGUAGAUAUUAGGAGGAACACCAGUGGCGAAGGCGGCUUACUGGACAGUAACUGACGUUGAGGCUCGAAAGCGUGGGGAGCAAGCAGG
rnacentral:rRNA from 1 species